rnacentral:rRNA from 1 species
CCUACGGGUGGCAGCAGUGAGGAAUAUUGGUCAAUGGACGAGAGUCUGAACCAGCCAAGUAGCGUGAAGGAUGACUGCCCUAUGGGUUGUAAACUUCUUUUAUAUGGGAAUAAAAUGUUCCACGUGUGGGAUUUUGUAUGUACCAUAUGAAUAAGGAUCGGCUAACUCCGUGCCAGCAGCCGCGGUAAUACGGAGGAUCCGAGCGUUAUCCGGAUUUAUUGGGUUUAAAGGGAGCGUAGGUGGAUUGUUAAGUCAGUUGUGAAAGUUUGCGGCUCAACCGUAAAAUUGCAGUUGAAACUGGCAGUCUUGAGUACAGUAGAGGUGGGCGGAAUUCGUGGUGUAGCGGUGAAAUGCUUAGAUAUCACGAAGAACUCCGAUUGUGAAGGCAGUUCACUGGACUGCAACUGACACUGAGGCUCGAAGGUGUGGGUAUCAAACAGGAUUAGAUACCCCUGUAGUC